CUGGCUAACCUGGAACACUCUAUGAAGAUUAGGCUGUCCUCGAACUCAUAGAGAUCAGCCUGCCUCUGCCUGCUGAGUGCUGGGAUUAAAGGCAUGCACCACAACCACCUAGAGAAAUUUCUUAUGAAUCAUUUAUGCCUUCCUGCAGACAUGCCACUUCUUUAAUUUUCCAGGUAGCAUACUACCAUUCCCACGUUCAGGCAGAUAUCAUCUUGUUGCAUACUAUCCUUACAAAUUGGAGGUUCUGACACAUAAAGAAGCCAAAGGUCAUUUUAAGAUACUUGAAACAUCUUUCUCAGGAACAAGAUAAUCAAAGCUUACAAGGAAACACAAAGAAAAAGAUCAACUAAGUACAUCAUUCCUAAGUUUAUCAUGGGAUCUAUAUACUAAAUAUGAAGGUGUGUUCCUUCUCAAUAAAUGUAUUCCUAUGGGACACUGAAGACUCAACUAUGGCAGGGGCCCUCAGGAUGUCAAUCUCAACACAGCACAGUGCCGCAGAUCUUGCCUUAUGAACUGCGUCUCCAGUCAGUCUAGUAAAAUGAAUUAACUCACACUGUCCAGACACGGCUUAACAAUUCAAGAGACACUUUUAUGUCAACCUAUGAAGCCAUACCUUUAAUCAUAUGCUCACCUUUAGGAUCUUCAUGAAGUUCAGAUGUUUUGGGAUGAAUUUGUACACAAUAAACACAAGUAUCUGCACAUAUGUAUCCAUGUGUACAGUUCUACAUCUCUUCUAGUUGGGGUGGUCCUAACAAAGAGCUCUUUAUCUAUCCUCUUCUGGGCAGAACUCCAGUCCAGGAUGAUUCUACUGCCACUAUUAUGCAGGUCAUCCCCAGAAGACAGCCCUUCCUUUGGGCACUGGGACUCAUCCUCUAAUACUUGGAAACAUUCAACUUUAACUGAAAGGCACACCAGAACAGUGGCUAGGCUGGUUCAAUCAACCAACAGGCACAGUGCCUUACCCUGCACUAUUCUUUCCCCAAUUCACCUCCAUCUUAUAACCUUAUGUGUUCAAAGUUUAAGUUUAACAAUUCCCCCCAUAUCCAUUUCUAUGAAACAAUAAUCCUUAAAAGGUGUUAACCCUCUAUUUUUACCAUGUGCAGUUUUUAAAUUUAUUAGUUAGUACAUGUGGUCACAUGCAUGCCACUGCACUUGUAUGUAGACUAUAAGACAAUUUGUGAAUCACUUUUCUCCUUUCUUUCAUCAUGUGGUUCAUGGAGAGCAAACUCAUGUCACCAGCUGUGUGGCUAGGCACUUUAUCUGCUGGGCCACACCACCAGUCCAGUAUGUACAUUUUCUUACUGUUUUGAGACAACGCCUAUGUAGCCCAGGCUGGCCUGGAACUCACAAUAUCCACCUGCCUCAAAUUAGGAUUAAAGGUAUGCAAUACCACACCAAAUAUAUUAUGUACUUCAAAGUCUAAAGACUAGAUGUUUCCAAUAACACUACUGUUUCCCCAGCAUGUGUACUAUGCAGUGCAGUAACUAAACUGCACAUACUUAUAAAUAGCAACAUUCUAGUCUAUAACAUCUCCCAUCUCUCUCUACCCAGUUUAUGUAACUGUUAAGUUUUUUUUUGGGGGGUGAGGAUAUUAACUAUUUCAUGUCCUAAGUGCUUUUGAGUUUUCCCCAUGAAAUUUAACAAAACUUUAAAUUAUGUCUUUUC
rnacentral:lncRNA from 1 species